rnacentral:rRNA from 1 species
CAAUAGCGUAUAUUAAAGUUGUUGCAGUUAAAAAGCUCGUAGUUGGAUUUCUGAUCGAGACAUCAGGUCGGGUCCGAGAGGAUCAUGUACUUUGAUUUUGUUUUGAUCAUCCUUGGGGAGAGCAUUUCCGGCAUUCAGUUGUCGGGAUUGGGAUCCUCAUCGUUUACUGUGAAAAAAUUAGAGUGUUCAAAGCAGGCCUCGGCCUCUGAAUACAUUAGCAUGGAAUAAUAAGAUAGGACUUUGGUGGUCUAUUUUGUUGGUUUGCACGCCAAAGUAAUGAUUAAUAGGGAUAGUUGGGGGUAUUCGUAUUCAAUUGUCAGAGGUGAAAUUCUUGGAUUUAUGGAAGACGAACUACUGCGAAAGCAUUUACCAAGGAUGUUUUCAUUAA